rnacentral:sRNA from 1 species
CAGAUUCAGGUUAAAUUGCGGAUUGAGCUCGCAGUUACAGACAGCUGACCAUGGAAGCGAAUGGGUUGGGCCUCCAGCGUAGCAUACUGACACCUACCCCCACCCCCACCUGAUCGCCAGACCUCAGGGUUUUCCGGAGCUGAAGAAUGACACAUUCCUGCGAGCAGCCUGGGGAGAGGAAACAGACUACACUCCCGUUUGGUGCAUGCGCCAGGCAGGCCGUUACUUACCAGAGUUUAGGGAAACCCGGGCUGCCCAGGACUUUUUCAGCACGUGUCGCUCUCCUGAGGCCUGCUGUGAACUGACUCUGCAGGUGAGGGGUCCACAAAAGAGGGAAAGAUUUAUGCCUUCAGUCUGCCACCUAGCAACCUGUCUCCUGUUUCCUACAGCCACUGCGUCGAUUCCCUCUGGAUGCUGCCAUCAUUUUCUCCGACAUCCUUGUUGUACCCCAGAUGUUUUCUCCCCCUCCAGGCACUGGGCAUGGAGGUGACCAUGGUACCUGGCAAAGGACCCAGCUUCCCAGAGCCAUUAAGAGAAGAGCAGGACCUAGAACGCCUACGGGAUCCAGAAGUGGUAGCCUCUGAGCUAGGCUAUGUGUUCCAAGCCAUCACCCUUACCCGACAACGACUGGCUGGACGUGUGCCGCUGAUUGGCUUUGCUGGUGCCCCAUGGACCCUGAUGACAUACAUGGUUGAGGGUGGUGGCUCAAGCACCAUGGCUCAGGCCAAGCGCUGGCUCUAUCAGAGACCUCAGGCUAGUCACCAGCUGCUUCGCAUCCUCACCGAUGCUCUGGUCCCAUAUCUGGUAGGACAAGUGGCGGCUGGUGCCCAGGCAUUGCAGCUGUUUGAGUCCCAUGCAGGGCAUCUUGGCCCACAGCUCUUCAACAAGUUUGCACUGCCUUACAUCCGUGAUGUGGCCAAGCAAGUGAAGGCCAGGUUGCGGGAGGCAGGCCUGGCACCA